AUCCAGUGCGCGCUUUGGUAAUUGAAAUCCUUCCAUUACCCUUACUCCAGCCCAUUUAAAUAUUUCUCUUUCAGAUGCAAUUACGUCAGGAGGUGAGCCAAAUGGUUUGGGAAAGAUGUGGGCAUUUCCAACAAGAAGGUUACUGGCUGCCCACCAAGAGCUGGUUGGUGUUCACAGUUCUGAGUCCAACUCUUUUCUCUGCUAGGUUCCCAUUUACAGAGCAUGACCAACCUUUCUCUCCAUUCCAAAGAACAUUCAAGAAUUGGGUUGACCAAUACACUUAGUGGAAACCACUCAGAAAAGUUAUCUUGCAUUUUUUCACUGCUUGAUUUCUUUCUAAAAAAAAAAUAAUUCAGCCUUGUUUCUUGUCAGCCCUAAACCAAAUCUUUUCACAUCACUGAGCAGCAUCAUAUAUUUUGAAAUAUCUUUAACCUCACAGAUGCAAUUUUACCUUAAGCAGAACUCCCCCCAUAAUCAAAAGUUGGAAAAGCAAGGUUUUGGAUAUUAGCAAAACAUGCAAAUUUCUAUGUUAAAGCAUCGAUAAUGCCCUCUUAAUGUACUUAGAUGGACAUUUAUUCUGUAUUUAUGUAUGAGAAUGCUGCCGAACCACAGCAUGCAAACUAAAUAAUUCAAUGGAAUGCAUAGAUAAAACUAAUGAUUCUAUAUUCUAACCACUGUUUUAUGAAAAGCUUUUCAUUUAACUCUCAAAACUAACUCAUAAAUCCACACUUGGAUAAUGCAAUGAAGUUAUAUUUAAGUCUAGAACUCUCCUUGCAUGCCAGGUUUCAAAUCUGCUUCUAAGUAAAUGUCCUUUUGGGGACUCAUUAUGACUAUUCCUGUCUUCCCUCAAAACAAACCUAUUAUGGAUGCUCAUUUCCUUUCUUCUCUUGACUUCUGGCUGUCAGAUUUACACCUCUUCCAAUCCAUGCUGCCUUGGCCUAUAGUAGCAAUAUCACAGCCAAGGACAGGGAGCUCAAGCCUGACAGAAGUUGCCAGAGUACCUAACAAAUAUUUUCUUAUGGGAUCCACUCUAGAAACAGCCCCAAAUCACGUCGCAGGUGAGGUUUAUAAUGGGCCACUGAAAGUCACUGAUUGUGAUCUAUGGUCAUAAUAGACCAACUUGAUUGAAAUAGGGAAGAGGGUUCAUAUGGCCAAGUCACACAGAAAAACAUACCCCAGUGCCUGCCAGGGAUCUGAGAUGAGAGAGAUGAGGUGAGGUUGCUCUUCGGCAAAGUAUAAAGGUUAUGCAACAAUCAGCCUCCUCGCCAUACACGAAAAUAUCCUUGCAUCAGUCGCUAUGGCUUCUGUGCUUCAGGAAAAUCUGGCUAGAAAUUCUACCAAAAAUGAAUUAAUUUCUUAAUGCAAAUCUCCUCAGUAGGUAUCACCUUUUUGAAACACAAAUCAUCCCCAGAGAGUACCAAAACCUGUCAGUUGCCCUCAAAUUUAUCAGAAAGAUGUGCUAUGAGAAACUAAAUGGCUGUUCUGUGCAUAAAUAAAAGAAAAUGGGCAUUGCAUUUGUUUAUCUGAUGAUUUUCAAACUUGCUGACAUCUAUAUUAAAACUAUUCUUUGGUCUUUAGAAAAACAGACACUUAAAUGUUCGUGGGCUUCACAUUCCUGAUAACUAUGACAUUUAAAAAUAAGAAAGAGCAUUUUUUUUUGCUAAGUUUAUAAUAGGUAACAAAAUACGUCCCUACUGCAUAUAGCUGUCCCCCGUUAUCCAUGGUUGGGGAUCCCAUAGUCUGAAAAUAUAAUAUGGAAAAUUAGAGAAAUAAACAAUUUAGAAGUUUUAAAUUGUUUGUUGUUCUGAGCAGCAGGAUGAAUCUUGUGCUGGCCCAGCCUGGAAUGUGACUCAUCCCUUUGUCCAGCGUCAUCACACUGUGUAUGCUGCCUGCCUACUAGUCACUUGGUAGACAUCCACUUAUCUCACCAACUAUUUCAGUUCUGUGUUCAAGUAACCUUUAUUUUACUGAAUAAUGACACCAAGUGCAAAUGUAAUGAUACUGGUGAUUUUGGUUAGGACAAAGAAAAGACACAAAGUAUUUGUUUUAAGUAUUAUCUCAUGUCAUCACAAGAAUACAACACAAGAAGAUGUUUUGAG
rnacentral:lncRNA from 1 species